UAUAUAUAUAUAUAUAUAUAUAUAUAUAUAUGCACACAUAGAUCAUCCGCCCGCUGUACGUGACCCUGUGGUUCAUCGGCCUCUGACGUCAGGACGUCAUCCAUCGCGUCAUCCGUCAGUGAGUGACGUCAUCAUCAAAACAUCACCGUAUAUGUACACACAUAGAUCAUCCGCCCCCUGGUCCUGUACGUGAUCCUGUUAUACAUUUGCCGCGACGUCGACUGUGACCACCGGCUGUGAGGUCAGCGCGCGAGGGUGACGUCAUUAUCCGUGUCGUCAUCAUCAGUGAGUGACGUCGUCAUACAUAAAUAUGCAUAGAUACAGAUCAUCCGCCUGCUGUAUGUGACCCUGUGGUUCAUCUGACUCAACGUCGACUGUGAGACGUCGACUGCGACCCCGGCCUCUGACGUCAUGACGUCAGCCACCGCGUCAUCCUCAGUGAGUGACGUCAUCCGUCAGUGACGUCAUCGUCACAUCAAUAUAGAUAUAGAUCAUCCGCCCACUGACCCUGUGGUUCAUCUACUGUGACCUGCACUGCUCUGUCGUCAUGACGUAACACGCUACGUCAUCUCACGUCAUCAUCAGACUCAGAUCUACCGCGACCUGUCAUUUGACGUCAGUGGGACACGGCUGCCGCAUCCCAGUGACGUCAUCAGUAACGUCGCUCAUCUGCUGUGACGCUGACUGACACCGCAACCUGUGACACCAUCACGGACGAGGGCAGCGAGGGCGUCUGUGACGUCAGAGAGUGACAGUCCAGGUCGGUGUCCCGCAGAGAGUGUGACGUCAGACAACAGUCCCGCCCCGCCGUGGGGUCUCCGACACACACGUGGGAGGUCAGAGUGACCCCAGGGUGACGUCAGCGCAGAGCGACCACCGAGUGACCCCAGAGUGACUUCAGCACAGAGUGAUCCCAGAGUGACGUCAGCACAGAGUGACCCCAGAGUGACGUCAGGGAAGAGCGACCCCAUAGUGACCCCAGAGUGACGUCAGCGAUACCCCGUACCGACCGGGAGCCCAGGACCUGACGUGCAGGUGACAUCAUCGCGACCCUGAGAUGGCAGCGGGAGACCCCGUGUGACCCCCGUGUGACAUCACCGAGACCCCAGCGACGUCAGCACUAAUCCCGGAGCCCAGCCCGCUGACGCCACGCCCCCCACAGGGCCGCCAUGCAUCCCCCAGGCCGCCACCGGCCCACCCCCGCCGGGUUCCCGCCCCGACCGACAGGAGCCCCGCCCC
rnacentral:lncRNA from 1 species